rnacentral:tRNA from 1 species
UCCUCGGUAGUAUAGUGGUGAGUAUCGGCGCCUGUCACGUGCGAGACCCGGGUUCAAUUCCCGCCCGGGGAG